CUCUAAAAAAUCAUCACAGUUUCCUCCUCCUUCUUGGUCGCGUUUCCUUGUUCCUCACCGUCAAUCUGCGUUGUUCUCACUGCCACCCUCUUCUCCAUCUUUGUUUGUCCAUUGUAGUUGUUUUCUUUCCCUGUUAUUGCUCUCUGUUUCAUCCUUGGUUCGAGCUGUGAGUGGUCUUCAAGUUUCUUUCUUCUUCCUCAAUGGCUGCAAGUUUCGUGUGUCGUCAGUCAGGUGCUGGCUCUUAGUUGCUACACUAAAGUUUCGUUUGAGGUAGGCUGCUGGGUUUUGUCUCCUUCCUCUUUGAUUUCUAUAGCAAAAUGAAUUACUCUCUUUUUCCUUAGCCGAAGAGCACGUCCUUGUUCCUCAGAGUUGCUGUCAAAAUUUUGAUGAAAUUAAACUAUAUUUCCGUUGAUGCUGUGCACAUUUUUGUUGUGAUGCUAAGCUGAAUGUUGAUGAUAAAAUUUAUGUGGAAAGUUGAUUAA